rnacentral:rRNA from 1 species
GUACACGCUGUGACUAGCAUAUCAAUAAGCGGAGGAAAAGAAACUAACAAGGAUUCCCCUAGUAACGGCGAGUGAAGCGGGAAGAGCUCAAAUUUGAAAUCUUAAAGGGUUUCCCUUUACGAAUUGUAGUUUAAAGAAGUGUUUUCUGUUGAGGUUUUGGUAAAAGUUCUUUGGAAUAGGACAUCAUAGAGGGUGAGAAUCCCGUAUUUGACCUUUACUUUCAACUUUGUGAUACACUUUCAAAGAGUCGGAUUGUUUGGGAAUGCAGUCCAAAAUGGGUGGUAAAUUUCAUCUAAAGCUAAAUAUUGGCGAGAGACCGAUAGCGAACAAGUACCGUGAGGGAAAGAUGAAAAGAACUUUGAAAAGAGAGUUAAACAGUACAUGAAAUUGUCAAAAGGGAAGCGUUUGACACCAGUGUUGUUUUUCUGAAAAUCAAUUAAAGAACUGUUUAUGCUAAGCUGUUUAGACUUUAUCAGCUAUCUGUUUAGUUUUGAGCUUUUCUUUAAUGCACUUUUCAGUUAACAAGUCAACAUCAAUUUCUUUUGCUGUAAAAAAGCUUGAGGAAGGUGGCUUGAGAUUCGUCUUAAGUGUUUAUAGCCUCUUGCCUAUGCAGUCGGAGAGAUUGAGGUCUGCAGCGUAGAUCCUUCGGGGCUAAAUGCAUUUGUGCUAAGUUAUAGCAUUUUAUAGACAACUUGUUGACUAUGAUUUGUCUUGUAGCUUACUCGCUUAUGUUAUUUUACCUACGCUUAGGAUGUUGAAGAUGUAGCACAUCAU